AGGAGAAUCAAGGAAGAAGUGCAGUUUAACUCUCAUGUUUUUUGUUGCUUUUCCGUCUAGAUAAUCUGUCCAUUGCUGAAAGUGGAGUGUUGAACUCCCC